CCUACGGGGGGCAGCAGUGAGGAAUAUUGGUCAAUGGACGAGAGCCUGAACCAGCCAAGUAGCGUGAAGGAUGACUGCCCUAUGGGUUGUAAACUUCUUUUAUAUGGGAAUAAAAUGUUCCACGUGUGGGAUUUUGUAUGUCCCAUAUGAAUAAGGCUCGGCUAAUUCCGUGCAAGGAGCCGCGGUAAUACGGAGGGUCCGAGCGUUAUCCGGAUUUAUUGGGUUUAAAGGGUGCGUAGGUGGAUUGUUAAGUCAGUUGUGAAAGUUUGCGGCUCAACCGUAAAAUUGCAGUUGAAACUGGCAGUCUUGAGUACAGUAGAGGUGGGCGGAAUUCGUGGUGUAGCGGUGAAAUGCUUAGAUAUCACGAAGAACUCCGAUUGCGAAGGCAGCUCACUGGACUGCAACUGACACUGAGGCUCGAAAGUGUGGGUAUCAAACAGGAUUAGAUACCCUAGUAGUC
rnacentral:rRNA from 1 species